rnacentral:rRNA from 1 species
CCUACGGGAGGCUGCAGUGGGGAAUAUUGGACAAUGGGGGCAACCCUGAUCCAGCCAUGCCGCGUGUGUGAAGAAGGCCCUCGGGUUGUAAAGCACUUUCAGUGAGGAAGAACGCCUGGUGGUUAAUACCCAUCAGGAAAGACAUCACACACAGAAGAAGCACCGGCUAACUCCGUGCCAGCAGCCGCGGUAAUACGGAGGGUGCGAGCGUUAAUCGGAAUUACUGGGCGUAAAGCGCGCGUAGGUGGCUUGAUAAGCCGGUUGUGAAAGCCCCGGGCUCAACCUGGGAACGGCAUCCGGAACUGUCAAGCUAGAGUGCAGGAGAGGAAGGUAGAAUUCCCGGUGUAGCGGUGAAAUGCGUAGAGAUCGGGAGGAAUACCAGUGGCGAAGGCGGCCUUCUGGACUGACACUGACACUGAGGUGCGAAAGCGUGGGUAGCAAACAGGAUUAGAUACCCUUGUAGUC